UAUUUUAUAAGUGGUUAAGGGAGUGCCGGGGCUUGGCGGGACCCUGAGAGAAAACUCCAGCUACACAUGCCUGUUCGUGUAUGUGUUGCUCAUGUGUGCAUGUGCCUGUGGAAUUCAGAGGACAGCCUUCACUGUCAGUCUUCAGGUGCCUUCCUCCUCUUUGUUUGAGACAGGGUCUCAUUGACGUAGAACUUUGACAAGUAGAUUCUGUCUCCACAGCAUUGAGAUUACAAGUGUGCCCAGCUAUUUGCAUGGGUUCUGGAGAAAUGAACUCAGUCCUCAUGCUUGCAAAGUAUUUUACCAACUGAAGAAUUAAUGCAGUGCCCUUUAAUAUAUGUUUGACAUGUACUUGGGAAGGUCUAAGAGCCAGCUUGAGCUUGGCUAUGCCUUCUAUUAUAGAGCAAUAAUUUUUUUUCUUAAAUUCCUUUGUGUGUGUGUGUGUGUGUGUGUGUGUGUGUGUGUGUGUGUGUGUGUGUACAUCUUACAGUUUCUGGAUUUCUCUUAAGGUAACUCUGUCCUGGAGAGAUGGCUCAGGGAAUAAAGGUGCCUGCCCCUAAGCAUGCAUCCUGAGUUCAAUUCCUAGGUCCUACAUAGCGGGAGAGAACCAACUCCCCCAGCUUACCCUCUGACCUCUGUACAAGCACUGUGGCAUGCACAUGCUUAAAUACCCACACAUAAAUAAAUUUUUAAAAGGGCAGUCUCAUCCCAAGAGUAUACAAAUACAUACAAAUUUGCUCCUAUUAUUUCAUAGUUGUUUACUGGUUUUUGUAGGUAUUUCAAGGUAUGUAACGAACCUAGAAUUUGUGUUGUUUUUGUUUUCUUCCAAGCUGAUAACAAAGCAUGCCACAAAAUAUUAUCUUGAAAUGCCAUAAUGCAUUGACUUGCUCAGCAAAGGCUUAUUUCAUUCUUCCUAUUUGCCUGGCUUAGGGUCAACAAAUUGUAUUAUCUGGAAACAACAGUGAUGGGUAGGAGAAAAUACCACAUGGAUAGUCUCAAGUAAGUCUUCUCUGAGGAAAUGGCAUUUCAACUGAGACUAUGAUGGCAGAGGAAAGGCCUACUAUGCAUAAAUCUGGGAGAAGAGCAUUCAGGAAGAGGGACUGAAUUAAGAUAAGGUCAAGGCAGAUCCAGCCUGACACUAUGUUUUUGGAGCAUGGGAGUGAGUAGGAAUUAGACCACACGGACUUUGUAAACCAGGUAGAGUUUGGUUUUUAUACAGAAGGGUUUUGUCACUUGGUUCUUUUGUAUAACAAAAUUAAAGAUGAUCAAUUGAACAUGUGAGAGUUUAUCCUAUAAGAGAAGGCCAAAAUGGUGAUUUGGUGAUGCCCAUCGGCCAUCUUCAUCCUUAGGUUUUCAUCCUCAAGAAGACUCCAUGUCUCAUAUCACUGCAAGAAAACGGAGCUCUAUUUCUCAUAUUUGUAUUCUGCAGGAUAUGAGAAAUAUCCUGCAGGAAGAGGAGGCCAGCACACUGCCUUCCAGGACUCACUCCUUUUAGAGAAAUGAAACUUCCCAUGCAUGUCACUCCUUGGAAGGUAGCCACCUAGCCACACCUAAUUAUAAAGGAAGCUAGGAACUCUAGGUUGGGCACAUUGCUAUCUCCAGUGACAUGCAAGUUCUGUAAGAGACCAAUGAGGUAGCUCAGUGGGUAAAGAAAGGCACUUGCUGCCAGGCCUGGUGACCUGAGUUCAAUGUCUAGGACUCACAUGGUAGAAAGAAAGAAUUGACUCCUACAAGUUGUCCUGACUUCUCUAUGGGCAUGGUGUGUUUACACACACACACUGAAUAUAAAGAUGUUCUGUAAGAAUAGGUGGCUGGGAAGAUUGUUAACCAAAUGUGUCAUAGAAAGAAUGUGAGCUGGUACUUGUUUCAAAAACUACCUGACCUAUGUGUGGACACAGAGUAGAGACAAAGACCUGAACAUUUCUCUGGGGUGACUGAGGAGUUGUUCCUGCAGGCCAAUAGAAGAGAACGCUUGAAGGGCAACCAGCAAUGACAGUGACCAACAGUAGAGGAGCCUUGACGCUUGGCGGAUACUUCCAAAGUGCUGCCCACAAGAACCCAUGGAAUCCUACCAGAACCCUUUUUCGUUCCAUCACAAUAGUGUUCUUAUCCUCCUUGUUUAAAAAAAAAAAAAAAAAAAAGUAGAAACCCUGGCACCAAGAAGUCAGUAACUCACCCAUGUCUUCACAGGUGACUCACAGCCAGCACUGUGGCUCCAGAGCCUUCUUGUCCCUGGCUGCUGAGAGGGGAGACACAAGAACAGAAAAUGGUUGUUCCUGUCACCACACUUUCCCUGAGGUAUGUUCUCUACCCUCCACCACUGGUCAAAGUUCAUCCUGCUUCCUUUACAUUGCUUCUCUCAUAGUACUUCGUUGCAGUGACGAGAAAGGUAACGAACACUGGCAUUUUAAGAUAAAUCCUUAUCACUUAGCACAAGCCCUUGAGAACCGUCCAAGAUGUGUGUAUCAGCAGUAUUGUGUUACUGCCCAGAAGCAGUGUUUUAUAGUAAUGCAGUACCAGAGUUAGGUUCGGUCAUUCAUUUAUUGUAAGACAUGUUUGUUUCUGGUCAGUGACUUGUUAGUAGAAAUAAAUCUACUGUGAGCAUUUUUGUAUAAUAAGUGUGGUUUUUGAGCCAUCACCUGGAUUCUCCAUGACUUCCUUUUGACAUCGUAUUUAUUUCAAGUUCUUCAGUUGUAUUUAUAACUCAUUGUUAACAUACCUUUUAAAUAGUAGAAGUGUUUAAACAAUAUUUUCCUUAGUGUAUAGUUUACCUAUGAAACAGGUCUUGUAAUGGUCCAGACUGUACUUGAACUCUUGUGCUUAAGUCCCCCAAGGAGCUGGGGUUACAGGCACACCUCUCUGCACCCAGUUCUAGACAUUUUAGUGUCUAGUAGUUUUUUAAUCAUAAUAUCAGCUUUAAUUAUAUUUAUGAGUGGGAACUGUUUUCAAGAGUCAAUCUAAUUUCAUGUUGUAUAAACUUACUUCCCCUAGAGUUGUUUUUCAUACUGUAAAUUUAGUUUAUAAUUGUUAUAGUUACAGAAUAUGAAACAUGAAACCUUGAUACUUUUUAGUAACUAUUAAGGAUUUCUUGGCUAAGAAUUUGAUUUAGUUUCUGUUUUGUCAUUAUUUUGCAUAGAGCAGCCAAGGUCAAGAGCAGUUCAUCCCCCUUGCUUGUGUAUAUGUGUCUUAAUUAUGGUUUCUGUUGCUGUGAUAAGAGACCAUGACCAAAAGCAACUUAGGAAAGAGUUUAUUUCGGCUUAUAGCUGAUUGAUAGCUUUGUGUUACUAAAGGAAUGGAAAAAUAUACCAGAUCUAGUCUUCAUUGUU